GAGCGGGAAGAAUAGACCGCACUUAGGCGGCGUGCGCAUGCAACAGAUGACGGAUCCGCACCUGAACCAGCUGCUGUCUCGCCUCUCGCGCGGAACGCCGUGCGCCAGAAGAGGGAGAAUGCGUCACGCACGUUUUAGACUUAUCUCUUUCGCGGGUAUUUUCUUUUUUCGUGGAUCCCAAGAAAUUUUUUAGUUGAAUUCUAGCUGGCAUUCGGUUUAAAUGGUUCGCGCGGAGAUAGUGUAGAUUCGUUCUUGUUUGCUCGCAGUCCGAUCGCUUGGUGUUGAAUUGAGUUUGAGAGUCGCCGCCGAGAGGAUUCUUCGAAACGUCCCCGGCCUUUGAUCUUCGCCGAACUUGCAACCCGCCUACUUAGACGUCAAACUUGCCCGUCCCGUGCAGAUCGCGCUGAUUGCGGACUGAACCCAGAUAAAGGGCUGGCAGCGAAGUAAAACAGUAAAGACCACGGAAAGCACCACGAGCCCAGAUUGUGUCGCGCAACUCUGCUCGCGCCCGCUUUCCCUUGAACGGAAAACGUGAAAACUCGCCAAAGAAAUCACCGCCUGGCCACGGUUUGUGAUGAUUGUGAUGAGGUUACUCUCCGGAUCCGUGUCGCUAACUAUUUCGUGAUUUUGCCACAUUGUGCGCCCCGUCCUCCGCCGCCCGCUCGCAGGAUACCGUCCAGCCGCGGGAACUCUGUCGCCCUAAAAUCCAAUCGAUCCCCACAAAGUCAACGAGAAAUUCAAGUUUUUUAUUGGCGUUCGCUGGUCGUGUCUCAGAGUUUUCUUGUUUUCUUUUCACCGCGAUCUCGAGAUCAAGACACAUUUCUUCGGCCGGUCGUCAUCGCAAUCGUUCACCAGUUAUUUGUGCGGAAUUCCGAUCGAAUCGAGAGAACGUGCAGCUCGAAUUGUUUACCUGAUUUUCAGUUGUACGGCUUAAGUGAGACGUCGCGGGCAGUGAUCUCAGGUGCGGAGUCGCUUCCUCCCAAGUACGCUAACUGGCACAAUUGCAUUUCCCGCUGAUCCGGAACAAAUAACAAACGCAAAAUGAGUACAUGUGACAAUAAUAACGCGCAGCAGAACACACAGAGUAUAGCCGACUACCUGGCGCAGCUACUUAAGGAUAGGAAGCAGCUCGCCGCCUUCCCCAAUGUCUUCAAUCACGUGGAACGUCUUUUGGAAGAAGAAAUUGCCAAAGUCCGUGCAUCACUUUUUCAAAUAAAUGGAGUUAAAAAGGAGCCACUACAGUUGCCAGAACCAGAAGGUCAACCAGUCACAUUAAAUGAAAAAGUGUAUGUGCCAGUUAAAGAGCAUCCAGAUUUCAAUUUUGUUGGUCGAAUUCUUGGACCUCGUGGUAUGACAGCUAAACAGUUAGAACAGGAAACUGGCUGUAAAAUUAUGGUACGAGGAAAAGGUUCAAUGCGAGACAAAAAGAAGGAAGAUGCAAACCGUGGAAAACCAAAUUGGGAGCAUUUGUCAGAUGAACUGCAUGUUUUAAUCACAGUUGAAGAUACAGAAAAUCGUGCCAGAGUCAAAUUAGCCAGAGCUGUUGAAGAAGUACAAAAGUUAUUAGUACCACAGGCGGAAGGUGAAGACGAAUUGAAGAAACGACAGCUUAUGGAAUUGGCCAUCAUCAAUGGAACAUAUAGAGAUACAACCGCCAAAACAGCAGCUGCAGCCUGCGAGGAGGAAUGGCGUCGUGUUGCUGCCGUUGCCGCCGAAUCCCGUAUACUAUCACCAGCCACCAUGUCAGGUUUGGCUGCCCAACAAUUACGUAACCCAACCGCCCCACUUGGAGCCCCACUCAUCUUAUCACCCCGAAUGUCUGUACCAACCACAGCCGCCAGUAUCCUAUCAGGAUCUGCACCACCAACAAUUGAUCAUCCAGGACUGAUAUAUGCAACACCGUAUGGUGACUAUGCUGCAAAUUAUGCAGCAUUGGCAGCUGGCAAUCCUUUACUUACGGAAUACACAGAUCAUAGCGUAGGAGCAUUAAAACAGCAGAGGCGUUUGGCCACCCGAGACCAUCCAUAUCAAAGGGCCGGGGCUCUCUCAUAGAUAUUUCUAAAUACAAUAUAUUCAACGCAUCAAUAUUUAAGAUAAAUCGAAAGAAAAAAAUAUAGAAUUAAAAUAUUUUAAAGAGAAGAAGCAAGGGAAAUAUAAAUAAAAUACUACGAUCGAUGAAAAAAGUAAUACAGUAUGAUGUGCUUGAGUGAGAAACGAUUACACUCUUAACUAAAGCAAUACUAAUUAUUAGAAAAUAUAUAGAAUAUAAAGAGAAAAAUACCCCAAAAAGGAAUUGAAUUGAAAGCAUUCAAGAGGAAAAUGGAUAAAGAUGAAAAGAGAGAGCCCCCACAUGUUAAAAAAAUGUUCCGCCUGAUUGAUAUCAAAAUAUUCUAAUCAUCAAGUUUAACAUUUCAGCCUCCAAAGAGUAGCAAGACUAUAGGCGAGAGUAACGUGACACAUUUUUGAAAUGCAAAACCGGAAACAUGGUAUAGCCUGCAUGGGACACCUUAACAACAAAACAAUGCAAUAUUCGAUAUCAAUCAGCGAAAGCAGAAGACUGAAAGACGCCUUCUCUUCUGUCAAUUGCUGCAAUUACUAUUUCAUUGCUGUAAAUAACUGAUUUUCUACAUAUCGUGCCUUGUGCGGUUAUACUGUGCAUUAUUAGGUGUAAGAUAAACCAGAAAUGGAAAAAGAGGUAUCACAAAAAGGUGAAAAUCACAAAAUUCAACAAACAACAAAAUCGUAGACAUAGUUUUGAUUCUGAACCAUCCAAACACCCAACGUAUACUUUAUUGAUCAUAGAAAUUAACCAAAUUGAAAUAUAAAUUAACUGGCAAAUGUCUCUUUUAUUUCAUUUGCCAGGGGGCCCACACACACAAUCUACGCUGUGUGCUAUGUAUGCUUUCAUAAUAAAGUAGUGAAAAUCCAGGCUGCAUUUUCGAAUGUAGAGGAAGUCUGCCGAUGAAGUGAUGUGCACUGAAUCUCAAGAAAUUUUUAAAAACUCGAAAACAGAUAAUCUCAUCUAUAAAAUUGCUUUGUAAAUAUUUAUGAAAUUUAUUUAUUUUUCGAAGGCAAUAUUAAAUAGUAAGGUCGUUAACUUCUACACAUUUAUGUUCUUCAGGAGUGUAAUAUUGAAAUGAAAAAGUAUUUAGGCAAAAUGUUGCGUUUCGAACAUAAUUUCUUCGGCCAAUACGGAAGUAAACGUUUCAAUAAAACAAAUACUCGAAUAGUAUGUCUUAGAACUACUAGAAAGGCGAACAUUAUUUUAAUUCCCCUUUCCGGCCAUUUUGUGUAAACCGGAUAAUCGAUUUGGGGGUACCAUCCUUUAGUUUUUGUUUUGAAUACAUACCGCUAAGUGAGAUAAAUAAAUCGAGGCGCAGCUCCAGAAAAUACCUACCCAACCACUGUAAUUUAUCCGUCCAACCCCUUGUAUCUUCUUCGAUUAUGAUGUCCUCGAAUGAAUCAGUCUUAAUAGGAUCUAAAUGUUGAAUAUAAUUAUAAAUAAAUUCGUUUAACACUACGGCAAUUGCUAUAAUAAUCAAAAUACUGUUUAAAAUAUUAUUAGAAGGUAGUCGUAAAGUAAUAAAUAUAUAGAAUUAACUGCUAUGUUCAUUCAGCCAUCGGAUUCUUCUUCAGCACUCACUUGACUUCUCCUCUACAUUGAAAAGGCGAUUCUGUAUUCAAAUUAUAGAAAUGUCUAACAUUUUCCUUAAAGAUAAUUUAGUUAUUAUUAAUGCGAAUAUAAGAUAAGUAUAUUUGUUAUAACAUCUAAUUGUAAUAUUUAAAAUCAUGAAAUUCGAGAAAAAAACAUUUAAAAUUAAAAUUAUUUUAUAUCACGUUUUACAAAUAUUGAAUGCGCCAUAUAAUGUUUAGUUUUUCUUCGUUUUAAGCUGAACAUACAAAUAAAAUAUAGAAAAUUAAUUGUUACACAAAUUAACGUAAAAAAUUAUAGUAAAUAUUAGAAGCUUGUCGAAGAUUAGAUUCAUAAAGUUAUCUUUGGGCAUUUUUCUCUUAGUUUUCGAUGAGUAACAUUUUCGAAAUUCAUCGUUUUAAAGCACAAAUCAAAAUUCUAAUAGUAACUUUCCGAUGUUGAGAUUCUUUUAGAAAGUAAUUUUAUGUGUGCAGCUGGAUUUGAUUUUAAAAAAAUGCAUUUAUAAUUUCUUGAGGGGCUUGCAAGUUGCAAGAUCAAUCCUAUCCAUCUGAAAGAUUUAAAUUCAGAGUGUUUAUGCAGAACUGAAGAAAUGUUAAAUCGUGUCCAUUUUCAUUUGAUUGGAAAAUGGAAUUGCCUAAUUUUUUCAUUUGAUACAAAUAUUGCCUCCCAUUCAGAUAAGAAUCGGCGUACACACCUUUGUCUUCUUUAUUGGUGCCUUAAUCGGAAAUUUUGUGGAAUAGAACGGAAAUUGUUAUAUAAUUCAAAGUUAUUGAAUACGCAAUGGAAAAGUAUAUUAAUGUGUUUGCAACUCGUACUUUAGACCUCCAAAAUAUAAAUAUUUACAUCUUAAUUUAAUUGAAAGCAAAUUAAUCAAAUAAUAUUAAAUUAAUGUGCAAUUAAUGUUUAUUAAGCAUGAAUUUAUUAUUGAAAGUUAAAUAUAUAGAUUUAUAUAUCAGAACAAUAAACCAUCAUGUAUGUAAAAAGCGUUGUUUUCUUAAUUUUGCAUAUACAUGGAUUAUGUCUACAAAAAUCGAUAUUGUUUAUAUAAAACGAUAUUCUAUUCUAAUGCAAUUGUGUAACUUAUUUUUAAAAUAAUUAAAACUAGCUACAAGUAAGAAACCUUUCACGCACAAAUUAUGCAUUAAAUCAAUUCAGAAAAGUAAACUCACAACGCAUAAUUUAACAACUACUUAUCUAUAAAAAAUACUUUUAGAUAAAUACACAAUGAAGUUUAUUUACACUGAUUACGUUUUAAAAUAAAUAUUAACUCUAAUUAAUUAUUUCGUCUGUUUGUUGUGUUUUCGUUAGAAAUUUUUUUCUAAAUAUGGUUUUCAUUUAUAAAAGCAAGUGCGAUCCGCUGUAAGAAGAAAGUUCUUUUCUAGAAAACAGGAGCAAGCGGGAAAACAUUUUCGAACCUAAUAAUUCAAACUUUUUAACAAGUUUAAGUAAAUUAACAUACGAGUACACAAAAGAAUAACGCAAUCUCAUUUUUAUUCGCAGUUUAUGCUAAAUGAUAGUUAUGUUCAUAUGUUUUAUUGUCUAUAUAAAUUGAAACCAAUAAUACUUUAUUUUCAACUAGUUAUAAGUGAACAGCAAACAAAACAGAGAUAACGAAAAUAAAAGCAAAAUUGUAAACAAAAAUUAUUAUUGUAGUCAAAACAACGGUUUUUGUUUGUUUGUCUAUUGUAAAAAAAAUAAGGAAGAAUAUUUUUAAAUAAAAUUUAU
rnacentral:misc_RNA from 1 species